GUUUUUUUCCUUUUUCUUUUUUCCUUUUUUUCUGUUUCCUGUUUUCUUUUUUUUUGUUUCCUUUUUCUUUUUCCUGUUUCUUCUUUUAUUUUUCUUUUUUCUUUUUUCUGUUUCCUGUUUUCUUUUUAUUUUUGUUUCCUUUUUCUUUUUCCUGUUUCUUUUUUUAUUUUUCUUUUUUCCUUUUUCUGUUUUCUGUUUUCUUUUUCUUUUUGUUUCCUU
rnacentral:lncRNA from 1 species